rnacentral:rRNA from 1 species
ACGAACGCUGGCGGCGUGCCUAAUACAUGCAAGUCGAACGCUUCUUUUUCCACCGGAGCUUGCUCCACCGGAAAAAGAGGAGUGGCGAACGGGUGAGUAACACGUGGGUAACCUGCCCAUCAGAAGGGGAUAACACUUGGAAACAGGUGCUAAUACCGUAUAACAAUCGAAACCGCAUGGUUUUGAUUUGAAAGGCGCUUUCGGGUGUCGCUGAUGGAUGGACCCGCGGUGCAUUAGCUAGUUGGUGAGGUAACGGCUCACCAAGGCGACGAUGCAUAGCCGACCUGAGAGGGUGAUCGGCCACAUUGGGACUGAGACACGGCCCAAACUCCUACGGGAGGCAGCAGUAGGGAAUCUUCGGCAAUGGACGAAAGUCUGACCGAGCAACGCCGCGUGAGUGAAGAAGGUUUUCGGAUCGUAAAACUCUGUUGUUAGAGAAGAACAAGGAUGAGAGUAACUGUUCAUCCCUUGACGGUAUCUAACCAGAAAGCCACGGCUAACUACGUGCCAGCAGCCGCGGUAAUACGUAGGUGGCAAGCGUUGUCCGGAUUUAUUGGGCGUAAAGCGAGCGCAGGCGGUUUCUUAAGUCUGAUGUGAAAGCCCCCGGCUCAACCGGGGAGGGUCAUUGGAAACUGGGAGACUUGAGUGCAGAAGAGGAGAGUGGAAUUCCAUGUGUAGCGGUGAAAUGCGUAGAUAUAUGGAGGAACACCAGUGGCGAAGGCGGCUCUCUGGUCUGUAACUGACGCUGAGGCUCGAAAGCGUGGGGAGCAAACAGGAUUAGAUACCCUGGGAGUCCACGCCGUAAACGAUGAGUGCUAAGUGUUGGAGGGUUUCCGCCCUUCAGUGCUGCAGCUAACGCAUUAAGCACUCCGCCUGGGGAGUACGACCGCAAGGUUGAAACUCAAAGGAAUUGACGGGGGCCCGCACAAGCGGUGGAGCAUGUGGUUUAAUUCGAAGCAACGCGAAGAACCUUACCAGGUCUUGACAUCCUUUGACCACUCUAGAGAUAGAGCUUCCCCUUCGGGGGCAAAGUGACAGGUGGUGCAUGGUUGUCGUCAGCUCGUGUCGUGAGAUGUUGGGUUAAGUCCCGCAACGAGCGCAACCCUUAUUGUUAGUUGCCAUCAUUUAGUUGGGCACUCUAGCAAGACUGCCGGUGACAAACCGGAGGAAGGUGGGGAUGACGUCAAAUCAUCAUGCCCCUUAUGACCUGGGCUACACACGUGCUACAAUGGGAAGUACAACGAGUCGCAAAGUCGCGAGGCUAAGCUAAUCUCUUAAAGCUUCUCUCAGUUCGGAUUGUAGGCUGCAACUCGCCUACAUGAAGCCGGAAUCGCUAGUAAUCGCGGAUCAGCACGCCGCGGUGAAUACGUUCCCGGGCCUUGUACACACCGCCCGUCACACCACGAGAGUUUGUAACACCCGAAGUCGGUGAGGUAACCUUUUGGAGCCAGCCGCCUAAGGUGGGAUAGAUGAUUGGGGUG